rnacentral:rRNA from 1 species
GACGAACGCUGGCGGCGUGCUUAACACAUGCAAGUCGAACGGAAAGGCCCUGCUUUUGUGGGGUGCUCGAGUGGCGAACGGGUGAGUAACACGUGAGUAACCUGCCCUUGACUUUGGGAUAACUUCAGGAAACUGGGGCUCAUACCGGAUAGGAGCUCCUGCUGCAUGGUGGGGGUUGGAAAGUUUCGGCGGUUGGGGAUGGACUCGCGGCUUAUCAGCUUGUUGGUGGGGUAGUGGCUUACCAAGGCUUUGACGGGUAGCCGGCCUGAGAGGGUGACCGGCCACAUUGGGACUGAGAUACGGCCCAGACUCCUACGGGAGGCAGCAGUGGGGAAUAUUGCACAGUGGGCGGAAGCCUGAUGCAGCAACGCCGCGUGCGGGAUGACGGCCUUCGGGUUGUAAACCGCUUUCGCCUGUGACGAAGCGUGAGUGACGGUAAUGGGUAAAGAAGCACCGGCUAACUACGUG